rnacentral:misc_RNA from 1 species
GCUCCGUAGGUGAACCUGCGGAGGGAUCAUUACAGAGUUCAUGCCCUCACGGGUAGAUCUCCCACCCUGUGUUAUUAUACUUUGUUGCUUUGGCAGGUCGCCCGCGUGGGCUACCGGCUCCAGCUGGUAAGUGCCUGCCAGAGGACCCCAAACUCUGAAUAUUUUAUUGUCUGAGUACUAUAUAAUAGUUUAAAACUUUCAACAACGGAUCUCUUGGUUCUG